GCCAAUUUGCUGAAUAGGAAAAGUAAAAUUAUUUUACGGGACCCGUACAUUUUGUAAGACUUGCAUUUUUUCUUUGUCUUCUUUAUCGUAAGAAGAAAAAUGAUCAUAAUUACCAGCGAUAUCAGAUGUUGACGGUAAAGCCGAAGAUUCUUAAAGAUUGGGUCGAUCACUGAUUUUUUAAGUUUUUGGUUUAAUAGUGAAAUACUUUGAGUACUAAGUACUAGUACCAAGUCCGUUUCGUUUUUGACUCAUUAUUACUCAGCUUUUUUACACACGCGUUUUCAACACAACGGUCACAAUGAAUAAACU